AGAUAGAUAGUCCUGUGGUUUUUGUUAUUUACACAGGUACACACACCACGGAUGCUCCAGCUGAGAGAGCGAGAGGGGGGAGUUAAUGAGAGAGAAAGGAAGAUGGAAAAUAAGAGCGGCUGUGAACGCAGUUGAGCUGCAAAUUUAUAGUUCCAUAGCUCACAGUUCGCUGAAUAAUGGAUCUGUGAACGCGACUGGCUUCAUCCUGGAGUCUCUCCUGGAAAGAUUACAGAGUUGUAAAUUGAAUGGUGCAAUGGACAAAAGACAGAGCGUGGCGGUUAUGAAGGAAGACAAGGACAAGGUGGAUAAGUCCCCAAAGUGCCAGCGUUCACCAACCACUGGCUCAGGGUGGGAUGAUGGCCAGCCUGCGGCUCAGACAGCGUCUUUGACUGAAGUCAGCAGCGCGUUGGAGCUGAUGUCCACCGCGGACGCG